UGUGCCUACGGGAGGCAGCAGUAGGGAAUCUUCGGCAAUGGGCGAAAGCCUGACCGAGCAACGCCGCGUGAAUGAAGAAGGCCUUCGGGUUGUAAAAUUCUGUUAUAAGGGAAGAAAGGUGAUAGGAGGAAAUGACUAUCAAUUGACGGUACCUUAUGAGAAAGCCACGGCUAACUACGUGCCAGCAGCCGCGGUAAUACGUAGGUGGCAAGCGUUAUCCGGAAUUAUUGGGUUUAAAGGGUGCGCAGGCGGAAGAUCAAGUCAGCGGUAAAAUUGAGAGGCUCAACCUCUUCGAGCCGUUGAAA
rnacentral:rRNA from 1 species